GACGAACGCUGGCGGCGUGCUUAACACAUGCAAGUCGAACGAUGAAGCCCAGCUUGCUGGGUGGAAGAGUGGCGAACGGGUGAGUAACACGUGAGUAACCUGCCCCGGACUCUGGGAUAAGCGCUGGAAACGGCGUCUAAUACUGGAUAUGCACCAUACCGGCAUCGGUUGUGGUGGGAAAGAUUUAUCGGUUCGGGAUGGGCUCGCGGCCUAUCAGCUGGAUGGUGAGGUAACGGCUCACCAUGGCGACGACGGGUAGCCGGCCUGAGAGGGUAACCGGCCACACUGGGACUGAGACACGGCCCAGACUCCUACGGGAGGCAGCAGUGGGGAAUAUUGCACAAUGGGCGCAAGCCUGAUGCAGCAACGCCGCGUGAGGGAUGACGGCCUUCGGGUUGUAAACCUCUUUUAGUAGGGAAGAAGCGAAAGUGACGGUACCUGCAGAAAAAGCACCGGCUAACUACGUGCCAGCCGCCGCAGUAA
rnacentral:rRNA from 1 species